AAUUGCCUAAAGUCUCUGAACUGCCUAAACCAGAGUUGCCUAAAGUCCCUGAACUGCCUAAACCAGAGUUGCCUAAAGUCCCUGAACUACCUAAACCAGAGUUGCCUAAAGUCCCUGAAUUGCCUAAACCAGAAUUGCCUAAAGUCCCUGAACUACCUAAACCAGAAUUGCCUAAAGUUCCUGAACUGCCUAAGAUCCCUGAAUUACCUAAGCCAGAGUUGACUAAAGUCCCUGAAGUGCCUAAGCCAGAGUUGACUAAAGUACCUGAGUUGCCUAAAUUCUCAGAAGUGCCUAAGUCUGAGUUGCCCAAAGUACCUGAGUUACCUAAAGUCCCUGAAGUGCCUAAGUCUGAGUUGCCCAAAGUACCUGAGUUACCUAAAGUCCCUGAAGUGCCUAAGUCUGAGUUGCCCAAAGUACCUGAGUUAUCUAAAGUCCCUGAAGUACCUAAGUCUGAGUUGCCCAAAGUACCUGAGUUACCUAAAGUCCCUGAAGUACCAAAGUCUGAGUUGCCCAAAGUUCCUGAAUUGCCUAAAUUCGACUUGCCUAAAAUUCCCGAAUUGUCUAAACCAGAGUUGCCUAAAGUACCUGAAAUUCCUAAGCCUGAGUUGCCUAAAAUACCAGAAAUACCAAAACAUUAAAUGCCUUAGAUGCUUAAGGUUCCUGAACUUUCUAAGCCAUAGUUGUCUU
rnacentral:lncRNA from 1 species